UCACACUACAUUAGAUCUGAACGUGAAGUUUUGUAAUGAAAGAAAACCUCGACCUACCCAAAACUGCUCAGAGAUUAGCGUAUGUGUAUGCGUGCAUAAAACACAAGGCGAAGUACCGCAAGUGAUGGUCUAUGGUCUGACAAUGAUCUUCAGCGGCCUUAUUAUAGUUAGUUCCCUUGUAGUAAUCUGUCUCAACUGUUGGAGGAAGGACGUUCAAUUUAGAAACAGAACAUACAGCCUAAG